rnacentral:rRNA from 1 species
GGAGGAAUAUUGCACAAUGGGCGCAAGCCCGAUGCAGCAACGCCGCGUGGAGGAUGACGGCCUUCGGGUCGUAAACUCCUUUUGAGGGAGACGAGCAAGGACGGUAUCCCUCGAAUAAGCCACGGCUAACUACGUGCCAGCAGCCGCGGUAAAACGUAGGUGGCGAGCGUUAUCCGGAUUCAUUGGGCGUAAAGCGCUUGUAGGUGGCUUGGUAAGUUGGACGUGAAAUCUCCCGGCUUAACCGGGAGGGGUCGUUCAAUACUACCGGGCUGGAGGAUGUCAGAGGGCAGCGGAAUUCCUGGUGUAGCAGUGAAAUGCGUAGAUAUCAGGAGGAACACCCGUGGCGAAGGCGGCUGCCUGGGGCAUACCUGACACUGAGAAGCGAAAGCUAGGGGAGCGAACGGG